rnacentral:tRNA from 4 species
GAGCCAUUAGCUCAGCUGGUAGAGCAUCUGACUUUUAAUCAGAGGGUCGGAGGUUCGAAUCCUCCAUGGCUCA